rnacentral:rRNA from 1 species
UACGUAGGUGACGAGCGUUAUCCGGAAUACUGGCGUAAGGCGCAACGCAGCGGUACUGCACAAGUCUGGCGUGAAAUUCUCUGGCUUAACCAGGGGGGGUCGCUGGAAACUGUUGGGCUUGAGGCGAUGAGAGGGAUGCGGAAUUCCAGGUGUAGCGGUGAAAUGCGUAGAUAUCUGGAGGAACACCGGUGGCGAAGGCGGCAUCCUGGACCAAUUCUGACGCUGAGGAGCGAAAGCCAGGGGAGCAAACGGG